rnacentral:rRNA from 1 species
UACGUAGGGUGCGAGCGUUAAUCGGAAUUACUGGGCGUAAAGCGUGCGCAGGCGGUUGUGUAAGACAGAUGUGAAAUCCCCGGGCUCAACCUGGGAACUGCAUUUGUGACUGCACAGCUGGAGUGCGGCAGAGGGGGAUGGAAUUCCGGCGUGUAGCAGUGAAAUGCGUAGAUAUGCGGAGGAACACCGAUGGCGAAGGCAAUCCCCUGGGCCUGCACUGACGCUCCAUGCACGAAAGCGUGGGGAGCAAACAGG